rnacentral:rRNA from 1 species
UACGGGGGGAGCAAGCGUUGUUCGGAUUUACUGGGCGUAAAGCGCACGUAGGCGGCUUUGUAAGUUAGAGGUGAAAGCCCGGAGCUCAACUCCGGAACUGCCUUUAAGACUGCAUCGCUUGAAUCAUGGAGAGGUUAGUGGAAUUCCGAGUGUAGAGGUGAAAUUCGUAGAUAUUCGGAAGAACACCAGUGGCGAAGGCGACUAACUGGACAUGUAUUGACGCUGAGGUGCGAAAGCGUGGGGAGCAAACAGG